rnacentral:rRNA from 1 species
AAACUUAAGGAAUUGACGGGGCCCGCACAAGCGGUGGAGCAUGUGGUUAAUUCGACGCAACGCGAAGAACCUUACCAGGGCUUGACAUCCCCUGACCGCGUAUGAAAGUACGUUUUCACCCUCGGGUGACAGGGAGACAGGUGGUGCAUGGUUGUCGUCAGCUCGUGUCGUGAGAUGUUGGGUUAAGUCCCGCAACGAGCGCAACCCCUACGUUUAGUUGCUAACGCGUGAAGGCGAGCACUCUAGACGAACUGCCGUUGACAAAACGGAGGAAGGUGGGAUGACGUCAAAUCAUCAUGCCCCUUAUGUUCUGGGCUACACACGUGCUACAAUGGCCGGUACAGACGGAGGCAAAGCCGCGAGGCGGAGCAAAUCCAAAAAGCCGGUCUCAGUUCGGAUUGCAGGCUGCAAUUCGCCUGCAUGAAGUCGGAAUCGCUAGUAAUCGCAGGUCAGCAUACUGCGGUGAAUACGUUCCCGGGCCUU